UCUUAAUUUCUACCUGUUGUCUUAUUUCACCAAAUCUGACAACACUUCAUUUUAUUUUUCAGGGGCCAUAUUUGAUGAGUCUGCCAAAAAGGAUGACGAGGUGUUCCGCAUGGCAGUGGCGGACCUCAACCUCAACAAUGAAAUCCUGGAGACGGAGAAGAUCACCAUCUCAGUGGAGUUUGUCGAUGGGAACAAUCCUUUCCAGGCUGUGCAAGAAGGCCAGGAUUUAAGUCUUUGGAUGUCAGCGGAUGAUCCUGGGAU
ensembl:lncRNA